GUCAGGAUGGCCGAGUGGUUAAGGCGCUUGAUUAGAAUUCCUCACUUGAGAAGUUCUUCCAAAUCUUCAAAAUACUUGUUAUCAAGUACUCUUGUAGUGCGCAGGUUCGAAUCCUGCUCCUGACG
rfam:Wallemia sebi CBS 633.66 unplaced genomic scaffold WALSEscaffold_10, whole genome shotgun sequence.